AGCAGCCGCGGUAAUUCCAGCUCCAAUAGCGUAUAUUAAAGUUGUUGCAGUUAAAAAGCUCGUAGUUGAAUUUCGGGGUCAGUAGGUUGGUCAUGCCUUCGGUAUGUACUGGUCUCACUGAUUCCUCCCUCUUGAAGAACUGUAAUGUCAUUAAUUUGGUGUUGCGGGGAAACAGGACUGUUACUUUGAAAAAAUUAGAGUGUUUAAAGCAGGCUCACGCUUGAAUACAUUAGCAUGGAAUAAUGAAAUAGGACGCUCGAUCCUAUUUUGUUGGUUUCUAGGAUUGACGUAAUGAUUAAUAGGGAUAGUUGGGGGCAUUAGUAUUCAAUUGUCAGAGGUGAAAUUCUUGGAUUUAUUGAAGACUAACUACUGCGAAAGCAUUUGCCAAGGAUGUUUUCAUUAAUCAAGAACGAAAGUUAGGGGAUCGAAGACGAUCAGAUACCGUCGUAG
rnacentral:rRNA from 1 species